rnacentral:rRNA from 1 species
UACGUAGGGGGCAAGCGUUGUCCGGAUUUAUUGGGCGUAAAGAGCGUGUAGGCGGCCAGGUAGGUCCGUUGUGAAAACUCGAGGCUCAACCUCGAGCUGUCGAUGGAAACCAUCUGGCUAGAGUCCGGAAGAGGAGAGUGGAAUUCCUGGUGUAGCGGUGAAAUGCGCAGAUAUCAGGAAGAACACCAAUGGCGAAAGCAGCUCUCUGGGACGGUACUGACGCUGAGACGCGAAAGCGUGGGGAGCGAACAGG